rnacentral:misc_RNA from 1 species
AGGAUUAUGAGCACAAGCAUGAAGCAGAAAGAAUGAUCCUUUUGGGGCAUUCUUUAUAUCAUCCAUCAUUGCAGCAAAGUCCAAGCCCUUUGAUUCAGCAUGAUAAUAGUGAUAUGUUUUCUCAGGGACGUGAGCAUCUCUCCAAAUGUUAUGAUGAUUAGACCAUGUAGGAACAGGAAUAUAAAUCUGUGAAUCAGGACAAAAGCGCUUUUGGAAGUCCGCAAAAAUUCUGCAUGCGCCUGUUCCAGAUAAUGCUUGAAUUGCAGCAAUGCGUUUAUCUUUUAUCAAGUCUGAGUUCUCUCCAUAGGCUAACUUCAGCGACUCCUGGAUCAUGUUGACACUACCUCCCAUAGGAAGAUAUUCCAUAUUGAAACCACCAGCUAUCCUUCGCUCUGCUUCUCUAACACACUCCAGUACCACGGGUUUUCCAUUGUCAUCCCUGUAAGCUCCAACGCCAACAUUGACUUUGUCAGGGCUAGGAUCGGCGAGAAAAGCUUCAGUUACGCCGAGGAUAGGAUCUUUAGGAGCCGGUUCAACAUUUCGCCACCACGACGACAGGGAUCGCGCUCCGAACGACGACGAGCUAAGUUUUAGUUGACGACCGGAAAUAGCGGCACGCAUCGCCAUGGCCGGAACGGAGAGAGGAUAUAGAGAAAUGGCCAAAUAGGAGAGGAAAAUGGCGUGUUUGUAGAGGCGGUUGAUAGAGAU